rnacentral:rRNA from 1 species
AUUGAACGCUGGCGGCAUGCCUAACACAUGCAAGUCGAACGGCAGCACGGGGAGCUUGCUCCCUGGUGGCGAGUGGCGGACGGGUGAGUAACACGUAGGAAUCUACCCUAAAGCGGGGGACAACUCGGGGAAACUCGAGCUAAUACCGCAUAAUGUCUACGGACCAAAGCAGGGGACCUUCGGGCCUUGCACUUUAGGAUGAGCCUGCGGCAGAUUAGCUUGUUGGUGGGGUAAUGGCCUACCAAGGCGACGAUCUGUAGCUGGUCUGAGAGGACGAUCAGCCACACUGGGACUGAGACACGGCCCAGACUCCUACGGGAGGCGGCAGUGGGGAAUCUUGGACAAUGGGGGAAAACCCUGAUCCAGCAAUGCCGCGUGUGUGAAGAAGGCCUGCGGGUUGUAAAGCACUUUCAGUGGGGAAGAAAUACUCAAGGAUAAUACCCUUGAGGGCUGACAUUACCCACAGAAGAAGCACCGGCUAACUCUGUG